GAGUACCCAAGCCGCCCUGGCUCCGCUGGAUAUUCCUCUUUUAAAAGUAUUUUUUGGAUCCCUGGGUGGCACAGCGGUUUGGCCCAGGGCACGAUCCUGGAGACCCGGGAUCGAGUCCCAUGUCGGGCUCCCGGCAUGGAGCCUGCUUCUCCCUCUGCCUGUGUCUCUGCCUCUCUCUCUCUCUCUGUGUGACUAUCAUAAAUAAAUAAAAAUUUUUAAAAAAAGUAUUUUUCUAAUUCAAUAGUUACAAAUGUGUGGCCUUAUCAGUAUUUCAAGCUGGAUUCUUGGCCUACUAGUGAUACUGAAUAUUUUCCCAUGUUUGUUCACUGUUUUCCCAUUUUUAACAGAUUUUAUUUAUUUUUUUGAGAGAGAAGGAGAGAGAUAGCAAGAGAGAGCAUGAAUGGGGAGCAGAGGGAGAAGCAGUCUUUGUGCUGAGCAGGGAGCCCAAUGUGAGGCUCACUCCCAGGACCCUGAGAUCAUGACUUAAGCGGAAGGCAGAUGCUUUACUGACUGAGCCACCCAGGCGUUCUGACUUCCCAUUUUUAAAUUGUGUUUUUUCACCCUUUGCCCACACAUUUACUGGAAGAAUCUUCCGGAAGGCCAGAAAAUCAGGCCGGGAGACCCUACAGUGGGGAACAGCACCCAGAUCAUCUUCCCACCACUGGGGGUGUCAGGAGGUCCGCCUGGUUUCUGAAUGUCUGGGUUCCAAGAGAAGGCUGUUUGGUGAACAUGAACUCAAGCAACCAGUGGUGGAUCCCUAUUGCCAUCCCACAGACCAAGCCAUCUCACCUGGACCAUCCUGACAGCCUCCUAAUGGCCCUUCCUUGUCCCUGGUCCUGGUCCCCUUGCACUGAGUACUCCUCCUUGCAGCCAGACUGUUCUUUUCCAGAUAAAAUCUGAUCACACUGCUCCCUUGUUUAAAGCACUUGAGGUACAAUUAGAGUUAGGAUAGAGCCUGUGUGAGUCCAGAUCCUCCCAGAAGCAGACAUCAGGUUAGGAUUAAACAUGCAAGGGUCUUCUUUAGGAAAACAUUUGUGAAUCAGGAGAGGGAGCUGGGGGAGGCUGGGAGAGCCAUUGGGGCAAGAGAGGGGGA
rnacentral:lncRNA from 12 species